rnacentral:rRNA from 1 species
GACGGAGGGGGCAAGCGUUGUCCGGAAUCACUGGGCGUAAAGCGCGCGUAGGUGGCGCGGUGCGUCGGUGCUGAAAGCGCCGGGCUUAACCCGGCGAGGUGCGCCGAUACGACCGGGCUCGAGGCCAGCAGAGGGUGGCGGAAUUCCGGGUGUAGUGGUGAAAUGCGUAGAGAUCCGGAGGAACGCCGGUGGUGAAGACGGCCACCUGGGCUGGACCUGACACUGAGGUGCGAUAGCGUGGGGAGCGAACCGG